UUUUUUUUUUUUUUUUUUUUUAGAUAUUUAAACUGAAAUUUAUAAAAGAAAACAGUACCAUUCCCAGUUACACCAAAACAUAAAACAUUUAGGUGCAAGUUGAAAACAUUUAAGAGGAAAAUAAUUAAAGAAGGGUUAAAUAAAUGGAGAGCUAUACAAGGCUUAUGGAUUAGAAAACUCCCUCAUUAAGACGUCAACUCUCCUUAAAUUAAUCUACAGAUUCAGUACAUUCCAACCAAAAUCCCGAAAAGAAUUUUUUUAAAAACAUUGACAUGCUUAUAGUAAAAUGUAUCUUUUUUUUUUUUCCUUUUUUUUUUCUUUUUUUUUUUUUUUUUCUUUUCCCACUGUACAGCAAGGGGGUCAGGUCUCUUUUACUUCUCUGAUUGCUGUGGCCAGGACUUCCAAAACUAUCUUGAAUAUCAGUGGCGAGAGCAGGCAUCCUUGUCUUGUUCCUGAUCUCAGCAGGAAUUCUUUCAGCUUUUCACCAAUGAGAAUGAUGUUUGCUGUGGAUUUGUCAUAUAUGGCCUUUAUUAUGUUGAGGUAGGUUCCCUCUAUGCCCACUUUCUGAAAGGUUUUUACCAGAAAUGGGUGUUGGAUUUUGUUACAGGCUUUUUCUGCGUCUGUUGAGAGGAUCAUAUGGUUUUUAUUCUUCCGUGUGUUAAUGUGGUGUAUCACACUGAUUGUUUUGCAGAUAUUGAAGAACCCUUGCAUCCCUGGGAUAAAUCCCACUUGAUCAUGAUGUACAAUCCUUUUAAUAUAUUGUUGGGUGUGGUUUGCUAGUAUUUUGUUGAAGAUUUUUGCAUCUACGUUCAUCAGUGAAAUCGGCCUGUAGUUUUCUUUUUUUUGGUGGUAUCUUUAUCUGAUUUUAGUAUUAGGGUGGUGAUGGCCUCAUAGAAUGAGUUUGGGAAUAUCCCUUCCUCUGCAAUUUUUUGAAAUAGUUUCAGAAGGAGAUAUUAGCUCGUCUCUAAAUGUUUGACAGAAUUCACCUGUGAAGCCAUCUGCUCCUGGACUUUUGUUUGUUGGAAGUUUUUUAUAAACAUACCCUUUUACUAUGAGCAUGACAGUAUGAGAUUUUUCAGUAGACAGCACUGGAAAGACACUGGAGGCAGAAGGGUUUCUCUUAAUGGUUCUGGUGCUCUGUCUUUGGGUAGUGGUAUGUGUGAGAGCAAUUCCAGUGAUGUUCUUCCCAGCUGCACACCCAGAACACACAGUUGCUCAGUGACCUUGCAGCCCCUGCUGAGCCUGGAGAUCCCUUCCCAGGACACUGCAGCAUAGGCAGUGGGUGUUCCAGGUCUUCCUCCUGCAGUGGUGCCAGAUUCCCUUUGUGCACCUGCAGGCCUGACCACCUGUCCCCAACCCCAGCCCCCUGGCACAGUUCACCUGUGCUCCAAUAGAUUGCUUCUUGCUUUUCCAGAAACUGAGGACAGGCUCUGGACCAGGUCAACUUGCAGACUUCUCUGCCAUGUGGGCUGCAACCACAUCUUCUCCAGUGAGGUCUGAACCCCAGCUUUGGGCAGAGAGCUCCCUUCAAUGUUUGUCCUUCCUUGGGUACUUUCUCUCAGCCCUGCAGUUCUUUUUAUAUCUCAUAGUUACUCUUUUAUCAUAGCUUAAUAAUUCUUUGUUUUAAACAUCCCCUGUUUAAAUCACUGUGUGGUUUUCAUUUCCUGACUGGACUCAGGUGGAUACACUUGAAAUACAUAGUGUAUAUGGCUUCUGUUUUCAAGGACACCCUGAAUGAUAGAAGCUAACAUAGUCCUGGAUCUGUAGACAUCUUGGCCCUGAGUAGAAGCAAAUGCGUAUCUUCUCUGGGGUUUCCUUCCUGCUUAGGUCCUCAGAACUCAUUUGUUCACUCAAAGAUUUGCUAAGUACCUGUUUCCUAUCAGUCACUGUUCUAGAUGAUGGGGAUAUAGCAAUGAACAUGAGAAAAAUCCUACCUUAUAUUUUCACAAAAAUGUAUCAUCAAAUAUAGAAGGAAAUAAGUCACCAUGAAUAGAAAUAAAAAACCUCACAUUUAGAUCCCUAUCAUUUUUAGUUAUUGCAAUUAUCCAGAUAGAAUAAGACAUAAAAUAACUAGAUAGGAAAUGUUUAAAGAAAUAAAAGAUGGGAUCAUAUGAAUAAGCAAGAGAUCAAAAAGACAAUAAGAAUUGUUGGGGAAGAUACGGAAAAAUUGGAAGCUUUACAAAUUACUAGUAGGAUUGUAAAAUGGUGCAUCCCCUUUGGAAAACUUUCCAGCAAUUCCUCAAACUAUUAAAUAUAGAGUUACCACAUAGCAUAGGUAUAUGGGUAUACAACCAAGAGAAAAUAUGUACCGACACAAAAACCGAUUAGACCCUUAGCUUGGGAACCUCCAUAUGCUGCGUGUGCGGCCCUAGAAAAGACAAAAAAAAUAAUAAUAAUACUAAUAAAAAAAUAAAAUUUCAAGAACAUUCAGAUGAUUGAACAUAAAAACCUGUAAUUUUAAUUCAUCACAUUAGUGGAUUAAAGAAGUUACAUGAUUAUCUCAAAAAAUGUAGUAAAGGCAGUCAGUAAAAGUCAACAUCCAUUCUUGACAAAAAAAAAAAAUAGUAAAGCAGGAAUAAAACAAAACUUCCUAAUGUUAAAAGGUAAUUUUUAACAAAAAGCCUACAGUAAUCAUCAUUCUUAAUGAUGAAUCAUUGAAAGCCUUGUUCCUUUAAGAGCAGAAUAAGACUAAGUUGUCUGCUAUUACUUCUUCUCCACAGGGCAAGAAUAAACAGAUAUGAGGCAAAAGAAGGAAACAAUACUGUCAUUAGUUGUAGCUAAUGUAAUUGUAUACGUAGAAAACCUCCAAAGAAUUUGCAAAUUAUGAAAAUUAAUGAGUGUUUACCAAGUUUGCUAAACACAGAAACUGAUAUAUAUCUCCCUAGAUUAAGUUCUUAAUAUUAAAAUAAGAAAAAGACAAACCAGUAGAAGAUGGGCAAAAGACAGGAAUAGGCACUUUACAAAAAAGGAACCAUAAAUAGCCAAUAAAAAUUAAAAUAUGCUCAACCUCAUUGACAACCAGGGAAAUAUAAAGCAAAGCCAAAAUAAGAAACCAUUUUCUAACUCCAUUGGCAACAAUUAAGAAAUUUAGUAACACCAAGUGCUGGUGGGACCUUUGAUAUACCACAAUUGGAGUGUAUAUAGGUACAACUUUGAAAAACACUUUGGCUAUAUGUAUUUUAUAAAUCUGAACUAGAUAUAUUACAAAGACACUCUUGGAGUUCCCAUGAUGGCACAGCGGGUUAAGGAUAUGGCAUUGCCCCAGCUGUGGCUCAGAUUUAAUAUCUGGCCCAGGAACUUCCAUAUGCCUUAUGUGCAG
rnacentral:lncRNA from 1 species